AGCUAGUAGUUCAAGGGAAACCCACGUAGGAGUAGCCAGAUUUGGCAAUUCUUUCUGAAGAGGAAGAAAAGGAAGAUGCUACUCAUAGUACCAGUGUUGAUCUUAUGGAUGCACAUAUCACAAGUGAAUGGACAACAGAUAAAGCAAAUUCCUCAAUUCCUGCUCCUACAAGAAGGAGAGAACUUCACCACGUACUGCAAUUUCUCAAGCACUUUGAACAACUUACAGUGGUAUAAGCAAAGCCCUGGAGGGAAUCCUGUUUUCUUGGUAAUGUUAGUCAGAGGUGGAGAAGUAAAGAAGCAGGAAAGACUGACAGCUCAGUUUGGAGAGACUAGAAAGGACAGCUCCCUGCACAUCACAGCCACCCAGACUGCAGAUGUCGGAACCUAUUUCUGUGCGGAGGCACAGAGCUCUUGAAGCACCU